UACGUAGGCAGCAAGCGUUGUUCGGAGUUACUGGGCGUAAAGAGUGCGUAGGUGGUGCCCUAAGUCUGUUGUGAAAUCUCCCGGCUUAACUGGGAGGGUGCGGUGGAAACUGGGGUGCUUGAGUGUGGGAGAGGUAAGCGGAAUUCCUGGUGUAGCGGUGAAAUGCGUAGAUAUCAGGAGGAACACCGGUGGCGUAGACGGCUUACUGGACCACGACUGACACUGAGGCACGAAAGCGUGGGUAGCAAACAGG
rnacentral:rRNA from 1 species